rnacentral:rRNA from 1 species
AGUGAACGCUGGCGGUAGGCCUAACACAUGCAAGUCGAACGGCAGCACAGUAAGAGCUUGCUCUUACGGGUGGCGAGUGGCGGACGGGUGAGGAAUACAUCGGAAUCUACUUUUUCGUGGGGGAUAACGUAGGGAAACUUACGCUAAUACCGCAUACGCCCUACGGGUGAAAGCAGGGGAUCUUCGGACCUUGCGCGAUUGAUUGAGCCGAUGUCGGAUUAGCUAGUUGGCGGGGUAAAGGCCCACCAAGGCGACGAUCCGUAGCUGGUCUGAGAGGAUGAUCAGCCACACUGGAACUGAGACACGGUCCAGACUCCUACGGGAGGCAGCAGUGGGGAAUAUUGGACAAAGGGCGCAAGCCUGAUCCAGCCAUACCGCGUGGGUGAAGAAGGCCUUCGGGUUGUAAAGCCCUUUUGUUGGGAAAGAAAAGCAGCAGGUUAAUACCCCGCUGUUCUGACGGUACCCAAAGAAUAAGCACCGGCUAACUUCGUG